rnacentral:rRNA from 1 species
CCUACGGGUGGCUGCAGUGGGGAAUAUUGCGCAAUGGGCGAAAGCCUGACGCAGCGACGCCGCGUGAGGGAUGAAGGUCUUCGGAUCGUAAACCUCUGUCAGCAGGGAAGAACGGUCCCUGUGCUAAUCAGCAGUGAAUUGACGGUACCUGCAAAGGAAGCACCGGCUAACUCCGUGCCCGCGGCCGCGGUAAUACGGAGGGUGCGAGCGUUAAUCGGAAUUACUGGGUGUAAAGCGCGCGUAGGCGGUAUGUCAAGUCAAGGGUGAAAUCCCCGCGCGCAACGUGGGAACUGCGUGUGAAACUGGCAAACUGGAGUGUGUGAGAGGAAAGGGGAAUUCCAGGUGUAGGAGUGAAAUCCGUAGAUAUCUGGAGGAACACCAGUGGCGAAGGCGACUAUCUGGCACAUAACUGACGCUGAGGAGCGAAAGCGUGGGGAGCAAACAGGAUUAGAUACCCUUGUAGUC